rnacentral:misc_RNA from 1 species
ACAAACUAACAUUAGAAGAAAGAAAUUUUACAUAUUCUUAUUGAAAAGACGUUGUACAAUUUAUUGCUUUGACUAUUCCCUAAAAUAACACUCUCUUAAAACUAACAUAUUUACAAAGUAGGUAAGGCACUUAAGACAGUUCCUUACUCAUUUCUGACUAGUACAAAGACAGUGCAUCUACUAUCACACCUGCAAACGUAAUAAUAAACAGACCACAAAUGAACUUCGACAUACUAUGCAACUUCUACUAAUCAUCUUAUGAUAUCUUUGCUAGAAAUAAGCAUAUUCAAAGGGAGAGACAUACUAGUGUUUCACGUAUCAUCUGUCACGUUGUAUCAUUUUAAGUACCAGAUGAUGAUUGAAGCUUUCGGAUGAGUCUGUUAAGAGCCACUAGCCAAAAAGCAG